UCUGGUCCGAAGAUUAAAUCCAUGCUUUACAGUACACCAGUUAGCUGUGUUGAGGAGGCAGUGUUAUGCCCUUGCUUGUAGGUAUUUCAUUGUGUCACACACACACAUGCACAUUGAUAGGGUAUGUGGAUAUGGUCCAUUUAUAACCCGUCUAAUAAUAAUGCAAUUAAAUAGAAAUUUCCCUGAAUGAACGAACAGGUUUACACAUGGAACACACCAAACAUGGCAUUACAGGAUUCCCUUCAUGCUUGUGACAAAAACACGUUGUAAAGAUCAGAACUUAACAAUGGAACUGACAAAAGAAGUCCAGUUUAGAAGGUCAGAUGAAAAAUCCAAAUGGUAAUGAUGAGAGAUAAUUACUGUCAGGAACUUGCGAGCGUUGAAAUAAUUGUAAUCCCGUUAUGAGAAGUUGUUAAAAAAAUAAUUUAAAAAUCCAAAACGACACUAAUAAACUUAAAAAAAAAACAAAUUCCCAGACAAACAAUAAAUAAAUAACAGGCUCAGGUGGAGCCAAAUGGUAGCCCAUUCUGAGAAUUCAAAUUGCCCAAUGGGGAGUGGGGCAAAUUAAUUAAUUAUGUAGUUCCUUAUUAAAACUAUAGACCCUUCUUAAAGGGACAGUUGAGGACAUUAUUUUAUUACCCUACAUAACCAAGUGGCUGUUACAACCUCGCAAAGGCUUUGUAUGCAAAGCUUCACUGUAAUUGGAAUGACGAUUUCAGAGAAGGCGUUAGAAUAUUUUUGAAAAAUCCAAUAUGGCUGCCAAACCAUGUGACCUUAAUUUUCCGGCUAGCACAACUUCCCACAGGCCUCUAUCAUCGCGUGACGUUCCAUGAGUUUUAGUGCAACUGUGUUGAUUUUAAAGAUAUUUCAAAAUGCCAGGCAGUUUUACGCCUUCUAGUUGGAAAUUUUAGCACUGUAGCAUUGCAGCACAAGUGUCAGCAACAGAUCAGUUUUAUGGAACAGUUUCAAUUCAAAAUACUGCAUUAGUUCAUUAUCUCACGAUGCUUUAUAACUUUAAACAUCAUAGUAACCAUGAUAUACUUACUUACUAGAGGGAGUCUCCGUGACUGUAUUACAAUAUGAAGAACCACUAGAGGGCACUGCAGCACCUUUCUUUUAAGUUGUAAAAAGUUUCCACAAAAGCAACACAUUAGUUUAUGCCUGUCUCCAAUCAAAGCAAGUCCAUGAAAUAAUCAAAAAUAUAGUUUUAACACAUUUUACAAAUUAUUUGGAAACCUGCCAGCCUUAGGGUUCCAGCUAUUUUAACAUGACCAGUUCAAAUCUGUCAAUGCACAAUGAAACUUCAACAUGUAGAGAACAUGGGCGUUAACAAAUUGGGUCAUAAAUAAGAGAAUUAUGGCCAAACCCCCCCCCCCAAAAAACGGAUUAAUUAAAAAUGUGAAAAACAAAACAAAAACAUUACAUCUCCUAAUAUGGUAAUCUACCGGAAAUACACAAGUAGGACCUUGUUUUAAAGAUCUGAAUAUCCUUUUUCUUCCAAUGACGUAGGCAGGGCUGUCUCUCACAUAGAAAGACUAAAAAAAAAGACAGAACGCCAGCGGGCUAUUUAAGAUUGGGCAGAGCCUAAAAAGCUAAAAGAACAGCUGGCAUAUCUUCUCGUGCUGUGCUGUAAAUUACAGGGCAUACAAUACUGCAGUUCUCACUCUAGGGCACUAGAUGGCAGUACGUCCAUGUAAAUGAAACAGAAUGGAAGGUUAUGGUGAUACCACAUUUACACUGAGUCCAGUUCUGGACAUUAUGGCCCUGGAGCGAGUCCAAAGAAGCAACCAGACUAAUCCCAUCUGGGUGUAAAGGACUGAGCUACGAAGAGAGACUGAAAGAACAGAAUCUGAUUAAGAACAGUACUCUUACACCAGGUGAUCAGUUCUACUGAAAACCCCAAUUACGAGGAAGCAGCACGUUUCUUUUUUUAUAUAUGCGAGGCUUCAUGCAAACACACACUCCCACUUCCUGUCCUAACAAGUAUUUACUGAGUCUGCCGACAGGGAUCCUGCAACGAGUUCAGAGUGACAGGCCGUACUUCUGAAACAUGGACCACCACGCAAGAAUUGCUGUCAUGCUUUGGGGAUUGUCCGUUCUAGCACUAGAAGUGGAGUCCAGUAUUACGCUGACCCAGUCUGAUUCGGUCACUAAAAAGCCAGGAGAGUCAGUCCGGUUGUCCUGCAAGAUCUCUGGGUAUGCAAUCGAUGCGCAUCAUGAACACUGGAUCCGCAGGCACGCUUCAGGGAGAGGACUAGAAUGGCUGGCCUCUUACCGAACUGAAUCCUUCACUAACCACCAUUCAUCAGCCAUUCAAGGACGCUUCAUCGCUUCUGCUGAUAUUUCCAGCAGCACCUGCUUCUUACAGGUGAACAGCCUGCGAGUUGAGGACUCGGCAGUGUAUUACUGUGCGCGAGAGUCACAAUGAGACAAGGGAAGCAGGUGGCUGGACAGAAACCCGAUUGAAACACAUAGCGGCUCGGUAAUCGAUAUAGUGAACUCGACGGGGAACAGUAGUAGAGGUUAAGGUUUGGUUGGAAUAGGGCAUCGCGUUUCAGUAAUUCCGGAUAUCUGAUCAGUAAAUUAGAUAUUUGUAGCCAAAGACAUGCAAAACCAAUCGCCCUACUGAUAAAAACAAGAUAUGUUGGCACAUGCAAUAAUAGAUUGUCUCUGCACUGUUUGACGCUACACUGUACAGGGCUGAUUUAUAACUGCAAUUUUAUCACAUUCUUUACAUAAUGAACAAAGUCAUGAGCAAAUCAUCACAAUUGUGCAUUGAAUUUAUCAAAUAGGAAUAAUAACAAUCAAAUUCUAUUAUUUCUAUUAUAACCCUAUAUUGAUUUCAGGCAGCAUGCCGUUUGUACUUUAUGUCACUGCAAUAUGUAGCAGAAGUUGGUUUCUGACAAAGAAUAUGUAACUGUAGAGGAGUUUGGAACACUUGUGGGUGUGUUGCAGUAAAAUAAUAAUGAAAACAAUAUUGAAUUGAAAGGGGUAUGAGCACAAUGUUAAACUCUGUUCCAGGUUGGUUUCAGUAGUAGCGCAUUAACUUGUCAGUCAGUCUUCUGCGCUCAGGUUUUUGCUUGUGUGUUAAUCACUGUGGCAAAAGUGGUGGCAGCAGCACUGUGAUACACAUCAGUACAAAAACCUAUGCAGGGAUCAGCUUGAAACACUGAACCACCGAUAGAAAACAUUGAAAGCAUAAAUAGAAUGUGAAGGAUUCGAAAAGGAUUACAAAACACAGGGUAAUGAAUGCAUGCAUCCAGAACUGCACUAAUAGUUUAUUUACCUCGAAAUGUAAGUCAACGGUAAUCAAUAAUAGUGAAGGCACUUUUUAAAGUAUGCAUGUGCUUGAAGCCACAGCUUUUAUGUCAGAAUAAUUUGGUAACUUUCAGGAGUUUUUGGUUCAUUAACUAUUAAUUCAGUGCUUAAUUCAUUAAAUGGUGGAGAAAGUAAU